AUGACGACGUUCCCCAGCCAAACCUCGUCCACCAUAGCAGCCGCCAUCACGACACUCACCACCGGUGCGCUCAGCACCCAGUCCAUCGGCGUCAUGGCCUCAUCUUCCCAUGCCUCGCCAUCCCUCACCGGCCUCGUCACGGUGAAGCUCUCCCACGACACCCAUCUCCUCUGGAAGGCUCAAAUCCUCCCAGCGCUCCGCGGUGCCCACUGGAUGGCCAUCGCAGAUGGAUCCGAGCCGGCUCCUGACAAGGUCAUCGCCGGUGAGGAAGGGGCGCCGCCGGUACCCAACCCGGAGUACAUCUCGUGGGUGACACGGGAUCAGCACUGCCUCAGCUUUCUCCUCUCCACGCUCUCCACAACACGCUUCUGCAGGGCGCAUGUGAUGCAGCUUCGUCGCCAACUUGCUACGGUCCAGAAGCGCGACAUGAGCAUGAUGGAUUACUUCACCAAGGUCAAAGGGCUCACGGAUGCCCUUGCAGCCGCCGGCAAGCAGCUGGAUGAGGAGGACAUCGUCAUCUACCUCCUCACCGGCCUCGGCUCGAGCUACGACCCGCUGGUGACCUCGGUAACCACGAGGGCCGACGCGAUCUCCCUCAACGAUCUCUACUCCCACAUGCUCGACUUCGAGAUUCGUCAUCAGCAUCACGAUCAUGUGCUCCAGCUGCCCGGCUCAGGCGGCUCCUCAGUGAACAACGUCAGCCGCAACUCCGGCGGCGGCAACGGCGGUGGCGGCGAUGGCAAGCGCGGCCGCAACUCGGGUGGAAACCGCAACCGCAACGGCGUCGGUGGUGGCGGCGGUGGAAAUCACCGCAUGUGCGGCUCGACCGGCCACAACCACAACUGCGGCGACCCAAAUCACAACCACACCAAUUCCUGCAACAGCGGCGGCGGAGGCCGCAAUGGUGGUAAGAACGCUGACGUGUUUUGCCAGCUCUGCAAGCGCCACGGCCAUGAUGUCUUCGACUGCUACAAGCGCUUCGACCACUCCUUCGUCCGUAAGGAGCGCUCCGCCAACAAUGCCUCCACCGGCCAAGGCUACGAUCCGGCGUGGUACCUGGACUCUGGGGCCACGGACCACAUCACCGGAGACCUAGACAAGCUCACGAUGCAUGAGAGGUACACCGCCAAGGAUCAAGUCCACACAGAGAACGGAUCAGGAUCGGGCUUCGAGGAAGGUUCUUCUUUGAGGGGGCACUGA
rnacentral:rRNA from 1 species